rnacentral:misc_RNA from 1 species
UCACGGCUUCCGUGUCGCAGCUAACGCAUUAAGUUCCCCGCCUGGGGAGUACGGCCGCAAGGCUAAAACUCAAAGGAAUUGACGGGGGCCCGCACAAGCGGCGGAGCAUGCGGAUUAAUUCGAUGCAACGCGAAGAACCUUACCAAGGCUUGACAUAUACGAGAACGCUGCAGAAAUGUAGAACUCUUUGGACACUCGUAUACAGGUGGUGCAUGGUUGUCGUCAGCUCGUGUCGUGAGAUGUUGGGUUAAGUCCCGCAACGAGCGCAACCCUCGUUCUUUGUUGCCAGCACGUAAUGGUGGGAACUCAAAGGAGACUGCCGGGGUCAACUCGGAGGAAGGUGGGGAUGACGUCUUCGGAUUCUAAG